rnacentral:rRNA from 1 species
AAUAUUGCGCAAUGGAGGAAACUCUGACGCAGCGACGCCGCGGGAGCGAUGAAGGUCNNNGGAUCNUAAGGCUCUGUCCUUGGNGACNAAGAUCGAAAGAUUUGACGGUACCCGAGGAGGAAGCCCCGGCUAACUACGUGCCAGCAGCCGCGGUAAUACGUAGGGGGCAAGCGUUGUCCGGAAUUAUUGGGCGUAAAGGGUGCGUAGGCGGCCUUUUAAGUCAGAUGUGAAAGCCCACGGCUUAACCGUGGGACUGCAUUUGAAACUGGAGGGCUUGAGUAUCGGAGAGGGUAGUGGAAUUCCCAGUGUAGCGGUGGAAUGCGUAGAUAUUGGGAGGAACACCAGUGGCGAAGGCGACUACCUGGACGAAAACUGACGCUGAGGCACGAAAGCUAGGGGAGCAAAC